rnacentral:snRNA from 1 species
GCUUCCGCAGCACGUACUAAAAUUGGAACAAUAGAGACGAUCACCGGGUCCCCUGUGUAAGGAUGCUGUGCGAAUUCAUGAAGCAGUCCACAUGUCG